GUCGAACGAACUCUGGUAUUGAUUGGUGCUUGCAUCAUGAUUUACAUUUGAGUGAGUGGCGAACUGGUGAGUAACACGUGGGAAACCUGCCCAGAAGCGGGGGAUAACACCUGGAAACAGAUGCUAAUACCGCAUAACAACUUGGACCGCAUGGUCCGAGCUUGAAAGAUGGCUUCGGCUAUCACUUUUGGAUGGUCCCGCGGCGUAUUAGCUAGAUGGUGGGGUAACGGCUCACCAUGGCAAUGAUACGUAGCCGACCUGAGAGGGUAAUCGGCCACAUUGGGACUGAGACACGGCCCAAACUCCUACGGGAGGCAGCAGUAGGGAAUCUUCCACAAUGGACGAAAGUCUGAUGGAGCAACGCCGCGUGAGUGAAGAAGGGUUUCGGCUCGUAAAACUCUGUUGUUAAAGAAGAACAUAUCUGAGAGUAACUGUUCAGGUAUUGACGGUAUUUAACCAGAAAGCCACGGCUAACUACGUGCCAGCAGCCGCGGUAAUACGUAGGUGGCAAGCGUUGUCCGGAUUUAUUGGGCGUAAAGCGAGCGCAGGCGGUUUUUUAAGUCUGAUGUGAAAGCCUUCGGCUCAACCGAAGAAGUGCAUCGGAAACUGGGAAACUUGAGUGCAGAAGAGGACAGUGGAACUCCAUGUGUAGCGGUGAAAUGCGUAGAUAUAUGGAAGAACACCAGUGGCGAAGGCGGCUGUCUGGUCUGUAACUGACGCUGAGGCUCGAAAGUAUGGGUAGCAAACAGGAUUAGAUACCCUGGUAGUCCAUACCGUAAACGAUGAAUGCUAAGUGUUGGAGGGUUUCCGCCCUUCAGUGCUGCAGCUAACGCAUUAAGCAUUCCGCCUGGGGAGUACGGCCGCAAGGCUGAAACUCAAAGGAAUUGACGGGGGCCCGCACAAGCGGUGGAGCAUGUGGUUUAAUUCGAAGCUACGCGAAGAACCUUACCAGGUCUUGACAUACUAUGCAAAUCUAAGAGAUUAGACGUUCCCUUCGGGGACAUGGAUACAGGUGGUGCAUGGUUGUCGUCAGCUCGUGUCGUGAGAUGUUGGGUUAAGUCCCGCAACGAGCGCAACCCUUAUUAUCAGUUGCCAGCAUUAAGUUGGGCACUCUGGUGAGACUGCCGGUGACAAACCGGAGGAAGGUGGGGAUGACGUCAAAUCAUCAUGCCCCUUAUGACCUGGGCUACACACGUGCUACAAUGGAUGGUACAACGAGUUGCGAACUCGCGAGAGUAAGCUAAUCUCUUAAAGCCAUUCUCAGUUCGGAUUGUAGGCUGCAACUCGCCUACAUGAAGUCGGAAUCGCUAGUAAUCGCGGAUCAGCAUGCCGCGGUGAAUACGUUCCCGGGCCUUGUACACACCGCCCGUCACACCAUGAGAGUUUGUAACACCCAAAGUCGGUGGGGUAACCUUUUAGGAACCAGCCGCCUA
rnacentral:rRNA from 2 species